rnacentral:rRNA from 1 species
GUACACGCUGUGACUAGCAUAUCAAUAAGCGGAGGAAAAGAAACUAACAAGGAUUCCCCUAGUAACGGCGAGUGAAGCGGGAAGAGCUCAAAUUUGAAAUCUUAAAGGGUUUCCCUUUACGAAUUGUAGUUUAAAGAAGUGUUUUCUGUUGAGGUUUUGGUAAAAGUUCUUUGGAAUAGGACAUCAUAGAGGGUGAGAAUCCCGUAUUUGACCUUUACUUUCAACUUUGUGAUACACUUUCAAAGAGUCGGAUUGUUUGGGAAUGCAGUCCAAAAUGGGUGGUAAAUUUCAUCUAAAGCUAAAUAUUGGCGAGAGACCGAUAGCGAACAAGUACCGUGAGGGAAAGAUGAAAAGAACUUUGAAAAGAGAGUUAAACAGUACGUGAAAUUGUCAAAAGGGAAGCGUUUGACACCAGUGUUGUUUUUCUGAAAAUCAAUUAAAGAACUGUUUAUGCUAAGUUGUUUAGACUUUAUCAGUUAACUGUUUAGUUUUGAGCUUUUCUUUAAUGCACUUUUCAGUUAACAAGUCAACAUCAAUUUCUUUUGCUGUAAAAGAGCUUGAGGAAGGUGGCUUGAGAUUCGUCUUAAGUGUUUAUAGCCUCUUGCCUAUGCAGUCGGAGAGAUUGAGGUCUGCAGCGUAGAUCCUUCGGGGCUAAAUGCAUUUGUGCUAAGUUAUAGCAUUUUAUAGACAACUUGUUGACUAUGAUUUGUCUUGUAGCUUACUCGCUUAUGUUAUUUUACCUACGCUUAGGAUGUUGACAGCAGUAUAGACUGU